rnacentral:tRNA from 1 species
UAGAAAGUGGUGUAGUGGAAGCACCUAGAGUUUUGAUCUCUAAAGGAUGGGUUCAAGUCCCCUUUUUCUAA